CGCACCUCGGCGGCGGAAGCCCGUCACAGCCGCACGGCGGCGGCCGCCGGAGCCCCCCCCCACUCCCCACCCCGGUCCCCCGCGGACCCGGGGGAGGAGGAGCCUGCGGGCCCCGAUCGCUGCAUUUGCGUACUGAGGCGGGAGGGUCACGGUAAGUAUAGCACAGAAAAACAUUCUCCAUCUCUCAUCUGACAGCAGAGGAACAGACUCCAUUUACUCCGGCAUGGAUGAAGAGCUCGGCCCCUUCAAUUCCCUCUUUCCCCGAUACUGAGGGGAUCGAUGCCAGCCCCUGCACAGCACCAGCUCCGUCCAGUGGGUCUGCUCGAACCUGUCCUCCCUCCGGUAUUGCUCAGCCCGGGUGAAUAAUGGACCGUUAAUUGGGGACUCUGCAAAACUCAAGUGUAACAGGAGAGCGACUACAUCAAAGCAGUUCCUAAAAUAAUCCAUCAAUAAGCCAGAGAUCAAACCUGAGUGAAAAAGCUGAGACAGGCUACAUCUUAAAAAUGUAAGAGCAACAAUAAAAGAGACGUCUUAAACAAGAGGAAUGAAGUAUUUAUCAGCAUGGUUAGUUUAAAUCUUUAUGAUGGUUGCAGUAUUAUUCAUGCCAGAAAGCAGUAAAUGUGAAGCAUAAAAUAGAAUAAACUCAAAUGUCUGAUUCCAA